GAAAAAGCGUGAUUAAUUAUUUUUUAUUCUGAGGGCGACUUGUACCUGGUCGGCCGUGUAACCCACCGUCCGUACCUAAUGAAACACAUCGGCCGAUUUGGACGAUUACAUGUUUUCUCUAGACGAAUCCUUUUGUAUCGGCUGUUGUUUAUCGUGGUCGUUCCUUUAUGCUCCGACCCAUAUACUAGGGUAGUACCUUUUCAAGUAUCUUCCGUUCAGAGCCCUAGUAAACUCUUCUCCUUCGAUUGUUUCUAGAAUAUAAGCGUUUCCUGGAGCACAUCUGCCGAUUUUAUACGGCCCUUCCCAUGUAGGGGACCACUUACCGAAUUUAGGAUCUUUCGACCCAAUCGGCAACACUAACUUCCAAACCAGGUCUCCCGGAGAGAAUUGUUUGACUUUGACUUUCUUGUCAUACCACCUGGC
rnacentral:lncRNA from 1 species